ACUUACGGCCAUAUCACGCUGAAAGCACCGGUUCUCUUCUGAUCACCGAAGUUAAGCAACUUCGAGCCUAGUGAGUACUUAGAUGGGUGACCGCUUGGGAAACCUAGGUGCUGUAAGCA
rfam:Octopus bimaculoides Scaffold2412_contig_40, whole genome shotgun sequence.